GAUGAACGCUGGCUACAGGCUUAACACAUGCAAGUCGAGGGGAAACGACGGGGAAGCUUGCUUCCCCGGGCGUCGACCGGCGCACGGGUGAGUAACGCGUAUCCAACCUGCCUCUGACUGAGGGAUAACCCGUCGAAAGUCGGCCCAAUACCUCAUGGUAUCGUCUGCGGGCAUCCAACGACGAUUAAAGAUUUCAUCGGUCAGGUAUGGGGAUGCGUCUGAUUAGCUUGUUGGCGGGGUAACGGCCCACCAAGGCUACGAUCAGUAGGGGUUCUGAGAGGAAGGUCCCCCACAUUGGAACUGAGACACGGUCCAAACUCCUACGGGAGGCAGCAGUGAGGAAUAUUGGUCAAUGGGCGAGAGCCUGAACCAGCCAAGUAGCGUGCAGGAAGACGGCCCUAUGGGUUGUAAACUGCUUUUAUGCGGGGAUAAAGUGAGGGACGUGUCCCGCAUUGCAGGUACCGCAUGAAUAAGGACCGGCUAAUUCCGUG
rnacentral:rRNA from 1 species